rnacentral:ncRNA from 2 species
UAUAUUUGCCUCGAUUUUGGUUUUGAUAUAAAAAUCAUUUUAUAUCAAAUUAAAAGGGAAUCUAGUUAAAAUCUAGAACUGUUCCCGCAACUGUAAGUUUAUGCUGAAUAUGAUUCAGUGCCUCAAUUGAGGAUGUUGUUAAUUCUUAUACCACUGACAAUUAUUGUUGGGAAGGUCUAAUAACAUGAAAACAAGUCAGGAGACCUGCCAUUUUCACGAGUUAAAA